GACGAACGCUGGCGGCGCGCUUAACACAUGCAAGUCGAGCGAGAACCAGGACUUCGGUCCUGGGGACAGCGGCGAACGGGUGAGUAACACGUGGAUAACCUGCCCUCGGCACCGGGAUAGCCCGGGGAAACCCGGAUUAAUACCGGAUGGCCCUUUCGGCUUUCGAGCCGGUCGGAAAAGGUAGCUUCGGCCUCCGGCCGAGGAUGGGUCCGCGGCGGAUUAGCUUGUUGGUGGGGUAACGGCCUACCAAGGCUCCGAUCCGUAGCUGGUCUGGGAGGACGAUCAGCCACACUGGGACUGAGACGCGGCCCAGACUCGUACGGGAGGCAGCAGUGGGGAAUCUUGCGCAAUGGGCGAAAGCCUGACGCAGCGACGCGGGGUGAGGGAGGAAGGCCUUCGGGUUGUAACCCUCUUUCAGGAGGGACGAAGCUACUCGGGUGAAUAGCCCAGAGGGUGACGGUACUUCCAGAAGAAGCCCCGGCUAACUACGUGCCAGCAGCCGCGGUAACAC
rnacentral:rRNA from 1 species